rnacentral:miRNA from 1 species
UAUCGCAGAAUCGAUGCAGCAU